CAAUUUAAAGCUUAAAAGUAAAGUAUUUCAUUUACAUUGAAGAGAUGUCUGUGCAAUUCGGAUUAAAUUGA
rnacentral:tRNA from 1 species